rnacentral:rRNA from 2 species
GAUGAACGCUGGCGGCGUGCCUAAUACAUGCAAGUCGAGCGAACAGACGAGGAGCUUGCUCCUUUGACGUUAGCGGCGGACGGGUGAGUAACACGUGGGUAACCUACCUAUAAGACUGGGAUAACUUCGGGAAACCGGAGCUAAUACCGGAUAAUAUUUCGAACCGCAUGGUUCGAUAGUGAAAGAUGGCUCUGCUAUCACUUAUAGAUGGACCUGCGCCGUAUUAGCUAGUUGGUAAGGUAACGGCUUACCAAGGCAACGAUACGUAGCCGACCUGAGAGGGUGACCGGCCACACUGGAACUGAGACACGGUCCAGACUCCUACGGGAGGCAGCAGUAGGGAAUCUUCCGCAAUGGGCGAAAGCCUGACGGAGCAACGCCGCGUGAGUGAUGAAGGUCUUCGGAUCGUAAAACUCUGUUAUUAGGGAAGAACAAACGUGUAAGUAACUGUGCACGUCUUGACGGUACCUAAUCAGAAAGCCACGGCUAACUACGUG